UUAAGUUAGAAAGAGCGCAGGGUGGAUGCCUUGGCACUGAGAGCCGAUGAAAGACGUGAUAAGCUGCGAUAAGCUGCGGCAAGAAGCAAAUAUUCAAUGAACCGCAGAUUUCUGAAUGGGGAAACCUGGCUGAGCAAACCUCAGUCGUCCUAUACUGAAUACAUAGGUAUAGGUCGGGAACCUCCUGAACUGAAACAUCUAAGUAGGGAGAGGAAGAGAAAGAAACAUCGAUUCUGUUAGUAGCGGCGAGCGAAAGCGGAAGAGCCCAAACCGGAGUGCGUGCACUCCGGGGUAUGGACUGCAACAUGGCAGUGUGAUUGAUAGCAGAAGGGUCUGGGAAGUCCCGCCAAAGAGAGUGAAAGCCUCGUAUGCGAAAUUGAAAACACGCCUAGCAGAAUCCGGAGUACCACGAGACACGAGAAACCUUGUGGGAAGGCGGAGGGACCACCCUCCAAGGCUAAAUACUACUCAGUGACCGAUAGCGCAUAGUACUGUGAAGGAAAGGUGAAAAGGACCCCGGGAGGGGAGUGAAAGAGAACCUGAAACCCUGUGUUUACAAGCUGUGGAACUACGUUAAGGUAGGACCGCGUACUUUUUGUAGAACGGUCCGGCGAGUUUCUUGUACCGGCAAGGUUAAGCACUUAAGGUGCGGAGCCGAAGUGAAAGCAAGUGUUAAUAGCACGCAUAAGUCAGUACAAGAAGACCCGAAACCGGGUGAUCUACCCAUGUCCAGGUUGAAGUCGCCGUAAAAGGCGAUGGAGGACCGAACGCACAUCCGUUGAAAAGGGUGGCGAUGAGGUGUGGGUAGGGGAGAAAUUCCAAUCGAACCCGGAGAUAGCUGGUUCUCCUCGAAAUAGCUUUAGGGCUAGCCUCGUAUUAGUCUUGCGGAGGUAGAGCACUGAAUAUCCUAGGGGGCGUCAAAGCUUACCGAAGAUUAUCAAACUCCGAAUGCCGCGUAGAUGAUGUACGGGAGUCAGACUGCACGAGAUAAGUUGGGUAGUCAAAAGGGAAAGAGCCCAGACCACCAGCUAAGGUCCCAAAGUGCGUGUUAAGUGGUAAAGGAUGUGGGAUUUCGAAGACAACUAGGAUGUUGGCUCAGAAGCAGCCAUACAUUCAAAGAGUGCGUAAUAGCUCACUAGUCGAGAGGUCCUGCGCCGAAAAUGUCCGGGGCUAAAACACGACACCGAAGCUGUGGAUCCGAAAGGAUGGUAGAGGAGCAUUCUUAAGUCGACGAAGCUGUACUGUAAGGAGCAGUGGAGAGUUAAGAAGAGAGAAUGCCGGAAUGAGUAGCGAGAUUUAAGUGAGAAUCUUAAAGGCCGAAUAUCUAAGGUUUCCAGGGUAAAGCUGAUCUUCCCUGGGUAAGUCGGGGCCUAAGGCGAGGGCGAGAGCCGUAGUCGAUGGAUAACAGGUUGAAAUUCCUGUACUGCUUAUGGACAGAACUGUGGGGACGCAGAAGGAGAGCACGAGCCGGAAAUGGAAAAGCCGGUACAAGCGUAUAGCAGUCAUGCAGGCAAAACCGCAUGAAAAAUGUAAAGCGUUAUGUGGAUCGAACAUUAGUAGAGAAGCGUGUGAGCCAGCUGCCAAGAAAAGCCGCUAUUGUUUCAUAAGUACCCGUACCGUAAACCGACACAGGUGGAUGAGGAGAGAAUCCUAAGGCCGGCGGGAGAAGUGUUGUUAAGGAACUCGGCAAAAUGACUCCGUAACUUCGGGAGAAGGAGUGCCACAGAGAUGUGGCCGCAGAGAAAUGGCCCAAGCAACUGUUUAGCAAAAACACAGGUCUAUGCAAAACCGAAAGGUGAGGUAUAUGGGCUGACGCCUGCCCGGUGCUGGAAGGUUAAGAGGAGAGGUCAGAGCAAUCGAAGCCUUGAAUUUAAGCCCCAGUAAACGGCGGCCGUAACUAUAACGGUCCUAAGGUAGCGAAAUUCCUUGUCGGGUAAGUUCCGACCCGC
rnacentral:rRNA from 1 species